GACUUCAUUUAUUAUUCAGAGGCUUUAAUUAUUGCUUUAAGAUUCUAUUUUGUGGAUGGAAAUUAGGUCAAGCUGGAAAUAGAAAAAUGAGUCUGCAGUCUACACUGGGCAUGCACUUAGGGUUUGAUUAUUACAGGGACUAAAUGGAGGUUUUUUGUCAAGAGGCUACCAUGCAAACAUGGAGGCGUCCAUUUUCAUCAGACAGUGGAGAUAAUGUUGAUGUUGUGGUCCCUCCUUUGGCUGAAUCUAUUGCUGAUGGAACCCUGGCCAAAUUCUUAAAGAUGCCUGGUGACAGGGUUGCUGUUGAUGAACCAAUAGCUCAAAUUGAAACAGAUAAGGUUGCAAUGACACAUCCAAUGGCUGUAACUAACUGCAACAUCGACAUGGAAAGUUUAAUUUCUGACCAGAACAGAAGCAUUGCUACACUUGCUAUUACCACUCUUUUAAAGACAGGAAAUGAAUCAAGUGUAGACCGUCUUAUGAAGCAGAUUACAAAUUUCAUGUCUGAUAUUGCUGAUGAAUUCAAAAUUGUUGUUGUAGAAGCAAUAAGAUCAUUGUGCUUGAAGUUCCCUUUAACAUAUAGAUCUCUGAUGAACUUCCUAAGUAACAUUCUCAGAGAAGAAGGUGGUUUUGAUUACAAAAAAGCAAUCGUAGAUUCAAUUGUGAUUCUGAUUUGAGAUAUCCCUGAUGCUAAGGAAAGUGGUUGCUCCAUCUUUGUGAGUUCAUUGGAGAUUGUGAAUUCACUUAUUUGUCCACACAGAUACUACACUUGUUGGGAGUUGAAGGUCCGAAGACAUUAGAGCCCAGCAAAUAUAUUUGUUAUAUUUAUAACAGAGUACAUCUUGAGACUGCAACUGUUAGGGCCAGUGCUGUGAGCACACUGGCAAAGUUUGGGGCUGCAGUUGAUGAAUUGAAGGAUGCUGGAAGCAAACAAUUUUUCUGGAGUUGUUCCACCUGAACUUGGGAAGCUGAUCAACUUGCAGACCUUGGUACUGUCAUCAAAUCAGUUGACCGGGAAUUUACCAUCGGCACUUUGAACAUUCCCCACCAUAUUCAACAGAAAAUGGAAGACACUGCUCCCAUUUCCGAAGGUCUCCUCCUAUCAAAGAUCUUCCAAGUGUUGAGGUAGAUAAAGCAUCUGAAAUGACAUGGUUAGAGGAGACUCAACCGCCCAAAAACUUGAUGGUUAAGAGAGAGCAGUACAUAGGCCCUACUCUACUAUAAGAAGACGUUGACGGCAAAGAUAAAUAUAACUAGGUUGUAAAAAAUUAAUUUUUUAUAUUUUUUUUUUCACUGCUAUGUGUUUGAUUUGAAUAGAGCUUGUAAUCAUUUGCACUGUUAUUUGAAUUCGAAAUUUAUUUUG